AUGAAAAUCCUUAGUUGGAACUGUUGAGGGCUGGGACAACCUCGUACGGUUCAGGAGCUUGUGUGUCUGACUAAGACGCACCGUCCCAAUGUUAUCUUUCUUUCGGAAACUAGAAAAAAUAAAGAAUAUGUUGAGCUUUUGCGGUACCGGUUGGGUAUGAAUAAUGUGUUUACUGUUUCUGGCCAUGGUAAAGGUGGAGGUCUAGUCGUGUUUUGGGAUGGAGCAUAUUCUUGUGAGCUAAACAAAUAUGGUGAACAUUUUAUGGACAUGUACGUCAACAAGGGUGAUGGUACAAAGUGGAGGUGCACAUUUAUUUAUGGAGAGCCUAAGGCGAGCCAGAGGUAUGUUAUGUGGGAUGUUUUGAGGCGGAUUAAACCUCUUGGUGUUGGACUUGGUUUAUGA
rnacentral:rRNA from 1 species